rnacentral:lncRNA from 1 species
CGCUGGGCGGAGAGCUCUCCCUCCUCUCUCCUCCUCCUCCUGGGCUGAAUGCGCACGCGCGGCAAGAGCUGCGCGCGCAUUCAGCCCGUCGCAUAGGAAAGCAUUUACAAUGCUUUCCUAUGGACGCUGGCGUGCUCUCACUGUGAAAAUCACAGUGAGAAGCACGCAAGCGCCUCUAGUGGCUGUCAAUGAGACAGCCACUAGAGGAUUUAGGGGAAGGCUUAACCCAUUCAUAAACAUAGCAGUUUCUCUGAAACUGCUAUGUUUAUGAAAAAAUGGGUUAACCCUAGAAGGACCUGGCACCCAGACCACUUCAUUAAGC